rnacentral:rRNA from 1 species
AUUGAACGCUGGCGGCAUGCCUUACACAUGCAAGUCGAACGGUAACAGGUCUUCGGAUGCUGACGAGUGGCGAACGGGUGAGUAAUACAUCGGAACGUGCCCGAUCGUGGGGGAUAACGAGGCGAAAGCUUUGCUAAUACCGCAUACGAUCUACGGAUGAAAGCGGGGGAUCUUCGGACCUCGCGCGGACGGAGCGGCCGAUGGCAGAUUAGGUAGUUGGUGGGAUAAAAGCUUACCAAGCCGACGAUCUGUAGCUGGUCUGAGAGGAUGAUCAGCCACACUGGGACUGAGACACGGCCCAGACUCCUACGGGAGGCAGCAGUGGGGAAUUUUGGACAAUGGGCGAAAGCCUGAUCCAGCCAUGCCGCGUGCAGGAUGAAGGCCUUCGGGUUGUAAAACUGCUUUUGUACGGAACGAAAAGCCUCUUUCUAAUAAAAGAAGGGGUCAAG